GACGAACGCUGGCGGCGUGCUUAACACAUGCAAGUCGAACGGAAAGGCCCUGCUUGCAGGGUACUCGAGUGGCGAACGGGUGAGUAACACGUGGGUGAUCUGCCCUGCACUUCGGGAUAAGCCUGGGAAACUGGGUCUAAUACCGGAUAGGAGCCAUUUUUAGUGUGAUGGUUGGAAAGUUUUUUCGGUGUAGGAUGAGCUCGCGGCCUAUCAGCUUGUUGGUGGGGUAAUGGCCUACCAAGGCGGCGACGGGUAGCCGGCCUGAGAGGGUGGACGGCCACAUUGGGACUGAGAUACGGCCCAGACUCCGACGGGAGGCAGAAGUGGGGAAGAUUGCACAAUGGGCGCAAGCCUGAUGCAGAGACGCCGCGUGGGGGAUGACGGUCUUCGGGUUGUAAACUCCUUUCGCUAGGGACGAAGCUUUUUGUGACGGUACCUAGAGAAGAAGCACCGGCUAACUACGUG
rnacentral:rRNA from 1 species